AAUAUCUCUGAAUAAAACGCAUUAUAUUUCGAACGCAGCGGGAUACAUUACUUACGUAAUUGACAUGUUCCAACUGAAAAGGAAGGUUGAGAGGUUGAACAAGAGGUGUCUAUGACGAUUGGAGCGUAACAAAUAAAAUUGGAGCGAUGUAAGCAGGCAGCAUAUUCAGGGUGGUCCAUUGUACUGAGAAAACAUGUGGAUGAGAAUUACAUAGCGUGUGUUACACGACUGCGAAAUCCACAGGUGAUGAUUUUCCGUUUCAACACAAGAGAUUCACUAAAACUUAAUGAUUCAUGAUUACUCACAGAAAAUUUAAUUAAAAUAUCUCGAAGUUGAUAAAAAUUUUCUUCCGUUUAAAAGAAAAUUUCUUGAGAUUGACUCAUCUCUUUUGAGAUUGCGCUGAAGAUCGCCAAAUUUUGUUAUUUCUACAAUUCGAUUUUCGCUUAUUUUGGCAGAAUUUAAUGCGGUUUCCGUGGAAAGGUGUUUGGAUAAUGAAAUUAUUCAUAUUUUCGCGCUAAAUUCAUUAUUUGAAUACUAUAAAUCCGUUAUACUUGAAAAUCUUACACAAAUAUUUUGAGAAAAAAUUAAUAAAAUAAAAAAAUAUUCCAUAAUUAAUAAUAUUUUAAUAUACACAUGCCUGCCAAUUAAUUGUAUUACUUGGUGUUGUUGUUUUUUUUUUUUUUUUAAUUUUGAGAGCUGCGCCAAUUUCAGCGCCGCAAGAGUUCAGUGAAAUUCCGUUAGGUCAUCCACUUCUUUAUGGACGCAGCACUUUUGAAACAUUAAUGAAAUAAAAAAAAUUUGCGCACAACUCCAUACACUUGCGCUGUACCAAACUAACGUUAUUGUUGUUGCGUGGGCAAAUUGCCAAAUGAUUCCUCAAUAACAUUAAAAAAUUAUAAAUAAAUUCAAUCGCAUAUCGUUGGCGGCAACGUCUAUGAAUCGACCGACUGGCUGCAUGACAAAUAUUACAACAAAACGCAGGCAAGUAUUUAACACAAGUGGCAGAGCACCGCACAUUGAUUGUGAAGAGGAGAGGCGCAAAGAGGACCGUAGUAUAAACACACUUAACGAAAUUGGUCGUACGCGUCCGACACUUAAGUGUACAAAAGUGAAUUGGGCGCAGCUAAGAGUAGUUUCGAUUUUAUACAGCAAAUGCUAGUGAAUUGCGUAAGCGCUGGUGUGAAUGAUGGGUGUUCAAUGAUAAUUGGCGUCAGAGGUGAGAAUUUAGGCAAUCAUAUGUAGAAAGUUCUUGGAAUAAUACAAAAUUGCAAUAAUUGUAAUUAUUUUUUAAUGAAACUACGAAUUUUAUGGUUCUUCAUAGUUUAUAUUUGCUUAAUGCAAGCUGCGCCUGAAUGUAGGCAACAGUUCAGAUGUUUUUCUCUUUUUUUUACAAAUCCAUGAUUUAUUUUUGCAAUUUCAAAUUUAUAAAGAUAUAUUUAAAUUAUAUUCGUGCUUGAUAUUGUUUUAAAUUUAGUUUUGAAAUAUACUGCAAAAGCUUGUUUGUGAAGUAAUACAUUUUUCGACUGAUUUUUGAAGAUUUUUCUUAGAUAUUAACUGAAAUAAACAUUUCAAUUUUUAAUUUAUUUAUUUAUAAGCGAAAAGCUAUUUUUUUUAUACUCUCGCAACAAAUGUUGCUAAAGAGAGUAUUAUAGUUUUGUUCACAUAACGGUUGUUUGUAACACCCAAAACUAAACGAGUUAGAUAUAGGGUUAUAUAUACCAAAGUGAUCAGGGUGAAGAGUGGAGUUCAAAUCCGAAUGUCUGUCUGUCCGUCCGUCCGUCUGUGCAAGCUGUAACUUGAGUAAAAAUUAAGAUAUCUUGAUGAAACUUGGCACACUUAUUUCUUGGCACCAUAGGAAGGUUGCUUUCGAAAAUGAGCAAAAUCGGACCACUGCCACGCCCACAAAAUGGCGAAAACCGAAAACACAUAAAGGGCCAUAACUAAGCCAUAAAUAAAGCUAUUGAAAUAAAAUUUGAUAUGAAGGAUCGCACUAUGAAGGGGCAUAUUGGGAUGUAAUUUUUUUGGGGAAGGGGCGUGGCCCCGCCCACUACUAAGUUUUUUGUAUAUAUCUCGCAAACCAAUAGAGCUAUAUAAACCAAACAUUCUGCAGUCGUUUUUUUUAGACACGUCCUCAUACAGUCCAAAAAUUAAAGAAAUCGGAUCAUAACCACGCCCACCUCCCAUACAAAAGUUAGGUUGAAAAUUACUAAAAGUGGGUUAACUCACUAAAGGAAAACGUCAGAAACACUAAAUUUCACAUAAGAUUUGGCAGAUGAAAGCUGCACUCAGAUUUUUUUACAAAAUGGAAAAUGGGCGUGGCGUCGCCCACUUAUGGGUCAAAAACCAUAUCUCAGGAACUACUCGACCGAUUUCAAUGAAACUUGGUUUGUAAUAGUUUCCUUACAUCCCAAUGAAAUGUUGUGAAAAUAGGCCAAAUCGCUUCACAACCACGCCUACAUCCUAUAUACCAGAACUUUGAAGACAAUCUGAAUCGUUUACUUUACAAUAUAUAAAGUAAGUACUAGUGAAGAUAUCGGUGCAGAACUUUGCACAAAUACUACGUUUAUAGUGUGGCAGCCCCAUUCUAAAAAUCGCCGAAAUCGGACCAUAGGUUUUUAAGGCCCCAUAUAGCGAACACGAGGACCUCGGUGCUUCUAACCUAAUAUUAUGGUUUCCAACUUUCAAUGGACUUUAUACAAUAUAUAUGACGAAUAUGUGGGUCAAAUUGUGUAUUAUAUAAUGUAAAUAAAGUUAAAUAAAUAAAUUGCGAGAGUAUAAAAUGUUCGGUUACACCCGAACUUAGCCCUUCCUUACUUGUUAAAUAUGCUUUUGUUUGAAAUUUUGAGCAAAUUGCAUUUGCACUUAAUAAAUUAACUAUUAAUUGCCAGCAAUAUUUCGAUAAUAACAGCAUUAUUAUGAAGGUGUUAAUGUUAAAUAAAUAUUAUAUUUUGAACAAAAAAAAAACGAUUUAAUUUCUAAACAAAAACAAAAUCAUAAAAUAUACUAAACUUAUAGCGCGAAUUAUUCAAUGUGAGCGAACGCAAAGACUUUCAAAAGAUUUUCCAGCCACUGCUCACUAUCGAAAACUAAGCGUGAAAACACAUACAAACACAUUUUUAUUAAUAUUGCUAUUGGUAAGAGAGGUAGAAAUAGGUUGGCGUUGAAAUAUAUAUUAGCGCAAUGGAAUGUGCCCCUAGGCAACACUGGUGGCUAUGGAAGUGGCAAAAUGAAGUGGAGGGUUGAUAUAGAAUGACGUACUGUGAAAUUGCUCACAAAAAUAUAUAUAUUACAAACUCACAUGUGUGUUGCUGGUUUAAGACACAUCAGUCAAACUAAGAAUACAUAAUAAUAUCUGAGUUGGCAGCACUGGCUGUGCACAUUCGAGUAUAUCUAUAGCAUAGUAUAGGAGAGUAGUUUCUGAGCAUACUAUUUAUUCGACACUUUCAAGUUUACUAUAAAAUUAUCUCAAUUCCUCUGAUUUCAUUGAAUUUGAAAAUAAUUAGAAACCGCCCAGUGCCGCCUCACCCAACGCCCAUUGUGACAGCUCUUAUUAUGUGAUUGCCAUCUGGUGUGAAUAAUAAAUGUUGCCAACACACACACAUACUCAUAAAUAAUGAUGCGCCUCUGCUAGAACGCCACAUAUGCCCCACAUAUUUUACGCACAAGCACUUGCCGCAGAAGCUGCUGGCACGAAGAGUGAGGGAGAGAGGCACGAUGUCCUUACGUUGGCGGUGUUUAUGCGAAAUUGAUGAAGAUGGUAUUAAGUGUCUGCGCAGAGGCAGGGUGCAUGCCCGCUAUGGGCUGGUGAAUUGACAAUGUUUGCACUUGUGAGUGGUAUUAUGGUCAUGACUUGCAUAGGCUGCAAGUGUUUUUUGGCAUUGUUUUUGUUGUUAAAUUACAUUGCAUAUUGUUGCCGACGCCGCCAAAAAUGCGCGCACACAUUUGUGAGCAAUCAUAAUUAUCAUAAAUUAUGACAGCUGCUAAAGAGUGGUGCUGUUGUUGUUGUUGCCAGCUUGCAGUUGGCAACGCAAGGUGCCUAUGGCGGAAUUCCAACGCUACACAAAUAUAUAUAGCAACAAGAGAAAUACUUGCAUUUGUUCGAAUAUUUUUCAAGCUGAAUAUUUGCUUUAUUUCUCUUUUCUUUUUUGUACUCAUGAAUUCGCCUAUUUUCGCCAGAAACUCUACUUGCGGCGCCGCGAAUGCGUUUUGUGGCGGCAAGAAUUUGUGCCAUAUAUUUCGUUUCUAAUUUAAAAUUUACAUUAAAUGGCUAAGGAGCAUGUGGAAGACGGACAAGAAAACAAAUAUGAAAGUUUAUUUUCUGAAAAGGCACAAACACUUCACCUGCCUACGGGUCUUGUUGUUGUCAGUGCGAAUUUCAUAUUCUUCACAUCAAAACUCAUUAUCUAUUUAUUUGGAUUUUAGCUAAUUACAUAUUUUUCCUCCUUAGUCAGUUGCAACGUUUGUUUGAAAAUGCAUUGCAUUGUUAAUUUGCGGUUAUAUUUGAUUUGAUAUGCAAUCGCCACCACAGCUACCACUGACAUUGGGGUUUGCGGUGAUUAAUAACAAAUUGAAAGCGCUGCAACAAAUAAUCGGAACUGCAAAUUUAUACAUUUUGCAUGCGUGUGUGUGCGUAAGUCUUACCGCAAGUAGCAGCAUAUGCGUGCGUUGCGGCUACUAGAGCGAUUUUCAGCUUAUAUUUGAGGUUUUAGUCGUUGCAUUGUGUGGCAAAUCUAAUUGGCGACGUUCCACGUAAACCCUGAAGGCGGGAUUACGUUAAUUGGCUGGGAGGUGUUGUUUGGCACGGUUUGUGGUUUGAGCUUGUUAUGACAUUAUCAUUAAGCCGCUGAUUAGUUAAGUGAUUUAUAUUGUUGAAAAAACGAAACUAGUAUGAGAACAUACAUUAUUUCAUAAUAUUGAAUGCUAUUUAAUAGUGGUUUAUUGCAGUUUAAUUAAGUGUUUAAUUAGCACAUUAUAUGUAGUUAAGCGGAAAUGAGUUUACACAUUAUAGAAUUAUGAAAUAAUAAUGAAAUUUAAUUAGUUAAAAGAACAAAAACGGAGAUAAGAACGAUAAAUACCAUUUAGAUGAAAGCAUUUAUAUUAUUAUUAUUUAUAAUUUAAUUAUUUUUUAUUAAUUGUUCUAUUCAGUUUGA